rnacentral:rRNA from 1 species
CCUACGGGGCGCAGCAGUGGGGAAUAUUGCACAAUGGGGGAAACCCUGAUGCAGCGACGCCGCGUGAGUGAAGAAGUAUCUCGGUACGUAAAGCUCUAUCAGCAGGGAAGAAAAAAAGUCUUUGGCUUUGGACGGUACCUGACUAAGAAGCCCCGGCUAACUACGUGCCAGCAGCCGCGGUAAUACGUAGGGGGCAAGCGUUAUCCGGAUUUAUUGGGUUUAAAGGGUGCGUAGGCGGGCUGUUAAGUCAGCGGUCAAAUGUCGGGGCUCAACCCCGGCCUGCCGUUGAAACUGGCGGCCUCGAG